rnacentral:rRNA from 1 species
GACGGAGGGUGCAAGCGUUGUUCGGAUUGACUGGGCGUAAAGGGCGUGUAGGCGGUCGGUCAAGUCUGAUGUGAAAGCCCGGGGCUCAGCUCCGGAAGUGCAUCGGAAACUAGCCGGCUGGAGCGCGAUAAAGGAGGGCGGAAUUCCUGGUGUAGCGGUGAAAUGCGUAGAUAUCAGGAGGAACACCGGCGGCGAAGGCGGCCCUCUGGAUCGUUGCUGACGCUGAGACGCGAAAGCGUUGGGAGCAAACAGG